UACGGGGGGGGCAAGCGUUGUUCGGAGUUACUGGGCGUAAAGGGCUCGUAGGUGGCCAACUAAGUCAGACGUGAAAUCCCUCGGCUUAACCGGGGAACUGCGUCUGAUACUGGAUGGCUUGAGUUUGGGAGAGGGACGCGGAAUUCCAGGUGUAGCGGUGAAAUGCGUAGAUAUCUGGAGGAACACCGGUGGCGAAGGCGGCAUCCUGGACCAACACUGACACUGAGGAGCGAAAGCCAGGGGAGCAAACGGG
rnacentral:rRNA from 1 species